CAACAUAGGUGCAGGCGAUGCAC
rnacentral:siRNA from 1 species